rnacentral:antisense_RNA from 1 species
GUACAUUGCAAUCUGUGGAUCAGCUACGAGACUGAGAGAAAGGAAUUAAAGGAUGGAAGAAUUACAGGAUCAGGCACUGCUGUCUGUCUGAUCCACGGAUGUAACCACAGCACACGCGUGGCUCACGAUGGAUAUCUGAGAACCAGCGAACUUUCUUUACCUCCUAGUAUCAUUUCAUGA